rnacentral:lncRNA from 1 species
GGUUAAUGUUCCCUUCUCCUUGUUGAAUAUUUGGAAGUUUCCUUCCAAAGCUUGGGAGGGGCUAGUUUCACAGGAAGGUCACAUGAACACGAUCUCAUGGGCAGUUCAUUGACUCUGCCCAGCUUUAAUCUCUGCGGUUGGAGCAGGAGAGUGAAGGGCAGUGGACAGACACUGCCCUCUCCCUCUCCAUUUAUUCUCCUCCUUCCAUGCCCCUUUUCUGCCUGGAACCUUCUCCAUGCUCUAGUUAACAAAUGUGCAUUUCAGCAUUCAGGCUGAAACUCAACUGCCAGCACAAGGCAAGUAAUGCCAUUUGACUUAAGAACAAUCUGCAUUUAAGAAGUCAGGGUUUUCUAGUCUGCCCGAUGCUUCUGCUUUAGAACAAAUUAAAGAGGGGGACCUCAGCCCAUCUUUAUAUCCCAGCUUUAUCCAUUUACCUGUCAGAAACACACCCUGUUUUCCUUUGAGUUUCUCUACAUCCCACUUUCAACUCUUCCCUCUCUUGUGCCUCCAGUAUCCUGAGUCUACAGUUCCCACCUCCAUAGCUCCCAAUGCACACAGUGAACAUCCUCUUUAAAAAUGACCUAAUCUUUCUAGAACCUUAAGGCUGGCAAAGAAAAAAAUAUCAAUGCAUCCCUUGCCUUCCUGGCCCUUAUAAAUUUUUAAAUGACACAACAUGUGUUUCUAGAAGGGAAAGUGUUAUUUGAAUUCUUGGGUUUUGCCCUGGCAAUGAUGGGCCUAUUAACCUCCCAUUAACAUUGGCUUUUUGAUGAUGGCCAAACCAUUAUCCUUUUCAUUUCACUUUUUAAAAUUACUGCUUGAUUACAGUGAAAGUGUUGUAUAAAAAUGGUAAUGUUGGAGUGAGGAUGCCCCACUUUAGGACCUCAAGAUCUCAGUGACUUUAUUUUGCUUAAAGAAACAUUGAUAUGGUACUUACUAUGUGUCAGGUCAUGUCCUGUGUGCUUUACAGCUACAAACCCACUUAAUCCAUAUCACAAUCCUAUGUGAUAUAGACUACUGCUAUCUUCAUUUUACAGAUGAGGAAAUAGAGGCCCAGAGAGGUCAGGUAACUUACUCAAGGUCCUGUAAAAUGCUGGGGUUUGAACCUACUCAUUCUGGCUCCAGAGUCCCAGCUCAGAACCACUAGCACUGUUUUCUCUCUGUUGAGGAUUAUCUGGGACACCAUUUCUUUAUUUGUACAAUGAAGGAGUUGAAAUGUAUAACUUCUGAAUUCAUUCCAGGACUAAUAUCAUGGGGGACAGUGAUAAUUUCAGGGUGUUUUGUAGGCCAUAACACCUGGCUUUUAUAAUUUUUGUCCUGAUCCAUGUGUUGAAAUAAUUAUUUUGGGUAAAAUAUUCUGUGCAUAGCUCUUAAGUCCCAUGCCCAGCCAUUCUGUGAUCCCAACAUUGAGGAGGAGAAACAACCCUUGAAUGAAUUGACUUCCCAAAGCACAUUCCAAGACCCACCAAUGCAGUGCCAUGUUUGAAAGAAAGGGUUCCCCAGACAGGAAGUCUGGGAAACACUGCAUAUCACAUCUCACCCUUUUCAGGAAUCAUAGUACACUGAACAUAUUGGAGGAACCUAGUUGUUCUGCAAUUGGGAAACCAAUUCAACUUUGAUUAUUCAAGUGUUUACCACCCUUGUCUUACCAGGAAAUCUACUCUUUGAGCAGCAUUUUAUUAGCAUCCCCUACAACCAGGCUUCUGAAAGACACUAGGGGCACACUGGCUGACACAUUUUUAUAAGUGGUUUCUACAGCUUUUAAUCUGCAGAGAUGCGAAAGUUUUACUCUUUUGUGCUGGUACCCAUCUGUGUAUAUAUAGCUGUAUAAAUAUUAGGAACAACAGGAGUCUUCUGUAAAAAGAUACAUAUCUACCACCUCUUGAGAUUCUCAGCUAACAAGAUAUGUAUACUUCUCCCACAGCCAUCCUUAUGGUGAAAAUAUUCACUUAAAUACAAACUGUACAUGUAAAGAUGUGAAAUUGACCCUCAAGCUGUCUCUCUCUUCACAGUUCCAUGCCAGCUAGAGAAUGUGGUCAAACGUUGACUUUCUCUCACCCUCUUCUUACAUCAUCUUUUCUUCCCAUAUAUUCUUGGGCUUUUUCUGUAUUUAUUUCCUUUGGCUUUCCAUUUCUAUUUUCCCCUCCUUCCUCUACCUUUCAUAAUUCCCAAAGACAAGGAUGUUCAGGAGAGAGAGGACUGGCAGCUAACAGAACAAUGUCCCUAAACACUGAGGCUGGGUCACCACAUGUGGCAACGCAGUGUUUCCAUUUGCUGAUUUAUUAUUUUUACAAUGCCCACUUGCAAAAAGGGUUUCUUUAC